rnacentral:rRNA from 1 species
UAUUAUCUACAUAUUAUAUUAUACUUGAUUGAUGAUUAUUAUACUCCUUGCAUUCAAUUUAUUGUAUGUUAAGGGUUCCGUUUAAUAUCACAUUUCUUGUAUAAAUCAAUAUUAUGUGGUUUACCGCAUUUCAAACCUUCCUUAAAACAGAAAACGUCGCAACCCAUUGGAUUCCAGUCUAAGAUAUUAUAGGGAGUCUCAUAUGAAACUUGCAUUUUUUAUGUAUAGUUGUUUUAUGUAGACCUAUAAAUUUUCUGACUGAUUAUUCGAUGGUAUCAAAAUAAAUAAGAUUAACCCUCGCAUGACGAGUUUGAGUAUAUUUAGAAAAUAAUUUGUAUUCCAUUUGUGAUAUUUUUAGUUCGGUCCAAAAGGCCCGUCUAGAGAAUAGCAUUGGAUAUGAAUAUAUUCUCAAACAGUGGUAAUCUUUGUUUGCGGCGAAUAUGUUUCGGAAUUUCGCCCGACCCGUCUUGAAACACGGACCAAGGAGUCUAACAUGUACGCAAGUCAUUGGGUUUUAAAACCUAAAGGCAUAAUGAAAGUAAAGAAUUGUUUUUAACAAUUUGUGGGAUGAUAGAUUAUCUUUACAUUUUAUGUUUGAUAAUCUCGCAAUCCUGGGGCGUCUCAUUCUUAUUGCAAGAAGAGGCGCACCUUGAGCGUAUACGUUGGGACCCGAAAGAUGGUGAACUAUGCCUGGCGAGGACAAAGUCAGGGGAAACCCUGAUGGAGGUCCGUAGC